CGAGCUUUGGCUCGGACUUGGUUGCUACGCAGCGACUGGACAGCAUGUAUGCGUGGUAAUUACGCAACGGUCGAGCUUGGUUAGUUUGGUUUGAAUAUUCAAGGAUACUUAUUCGUAAAAACUUCGUGUUUGGUUAUAUUUUACGAAAGUUACAUCUUUCUUUUUACUAUCUCUUUCGGAAAUACGAUCUACGAGGAUUUUCGGUUGGUAAUUCCGUCGUAACCGUUUUUGACCCCAACAAGAUCCAGAGUCGCAAGGACAAGAAGGAAGCAACGCCGUAAGAUAGGAUCGAUGGGUGUGGCUGGGACAAGAAGAAACUGGCGGGGCAAGAAACCAACGGAAAAACGGUGCUGUCGGCUUCCUUGAAUUAACAGUUGAGAUGUCUGAAAACUAGGGUUUGGCGGCUAGGGUGGGGAGAGACACCAGAGAGAAACUGUCUCUCUCUCUUGUUUUUCAGUGUGUUUCUGUUCUCAUAAAAAAUGUUUCUAAUCAUGGAUUUGAAUAAUUGAAAAAAAACCUCACGUAUGCAUGAUGCAUCAACAAAUGACUGGUGAUGGCAGUAUGACAUUUCAGAUAUACUUGAUCGUGUCUGGCUUUGACGUAGGUUUUAGUUUGUUUCCUAAAAGUUCUCCUAGCUGCUCUUGAAAGUUUCAUGAUAGUUUCCUCAAACUUUAAAGCAAUAUGAAAGAUUAAGAAUCCAUCCCAACAGCUAAUAAUGAUGAAACGGGAUCAUGGCAUGUAACAUAUUGUGGUUUGUGUUAGUAUUGUUUUGCGUCAUCAUCAAACUGAUGAAAUCGACAUUUCUUUUUGCAGGAAAAAAUAAUAUAUGACGAUUUGAAGCUCUAACUUCACUACAAGAAAACAUAUUUUUUACGAGGGCGGUAUUCGUUGUAAAUUCGUCGUAAUAGGAGCUUUACGACGAAUUAACAUCGAUACGCGUUUCGUUGUUAAACGCUCGUCGUAACAGAGGUUUCGUCGUAAAGUCCUAGUUACGUUUACGAGGAAGUCAAUUCCUCGUAAAGCGGAAGGAAACUAUUCGUCGUAAUGCCCUCGUAAAUGGCGAUGUAAAUACCUCGUAAUAGUUCGUUGUAAAAGCUACGUAAGGCUUCCACGUAAAGUCGAUGUAAACUUUACGAGGACUUUACAACGACUCCAUGUAAAUUCCUCGUAAAUGUUACGAGGACUUAACGUGGAAUUUUACAACGAAUUUACAUCUCCAUAUUUAAAAUAUUAAUUAAUUAUAAUAAUUAUAUAAAUUUUAUAAAACAAUAAUUUUAAAAUUUAAAAUAUUUGAAAUAAAAUUAAAUAUGAAACCAAAUAUUUUUUUUAAAAAAACUAUAAAUUCAUUAAUUAAAUAGAAUUUAUAUUUUUUAUACAAAACAAAAGAAAUUAAAAAAGGAAACUAAAGGCCAACAUCAUCGUCAUCGAAGUAGUUGGCUGAGGGGUUCGGGUCUGUAGACGUUCCUGCUUCGGGAUCCGGCUGGCUCAUCCCGAGAGCUGCUCGUCUCUCCGCCAAAGCUCUCUGCAAAGUUGGAUUUCCCACCGCCAUCACAUCCAGCAAACCCUCGAGAGAGUCCAAACGCUGCUGCUGGGUAUCCAUGCGAGCCUGCAUCCGGUCGUUGUCCUGGUCCCGUCUCGAAUAGUAUGACGAAGUCGACCUUGCAACUUCGUUAACGGAACCUAUUCCGACCGUCCUUCCCUUCUUUCUAGGAGCCACCUAUAUGUAUAUAUAUAAAAACGUAUUUAGAGUUAAUAAUAAAAAAAAAUAAAAAAAAAUAAAAAAAAAUUAAAAUUAUUAAAUUUUACCUCCUCGAAGAUCCGGUCGACCUCUUCGGUUGACAACUUGACGGGUAAUCCAUCUGCAGACUGUUGGGUAAGUUGCGUCUCUUGCUCUUCAACCCGAGACGCCACAGCGUUGAAGAGUUUCUCGGAUGCAGGAUCCACAAAAACCCCAUCUGGUGAGGCGUGAGUCAUCUUGAAUAAGUCCGAGAGAGAUGGCAAAACUCCUGUCUUCUCCAACUAAUAAAAAACAAUAAUAAAUAAAUUAAAUAUAAUUAAUAAAUACAAGUUUAAAAUAAUGAAAAUUAUAAAUUUAAAUAAAACUUACAGCUUCGAGACGAAUUCCGGCAUGGGGUUUUUGGCCGGUUCUAUGAACCAUGGGCAAAUGGCCAUCUUUAUCCCUCGUUCUUCGGGAAGCGGAGCAGGAGUUGGCUUUGCGGAUGGAGCUGGGUUCGUUCCAAUAGGUGAUGAGGCCAUCCCAUGCUUCCUUUGUGACCUCGCUCGGCUUCCCCUCAUAGCCGUAAAUCUCCCACUUGUCCUUCCAAUCGGAGACGGUAUUGCAAAGACGAGUUUUCGCCUUUGCAAUAAAUUCGCUCUUCACCCUCUCGGUGAUUCCUACGGACCAGUUCCACCUUUGCUGAAAAACAAACAUUUUAAAAGAUUAGAAAAAAAAUAAUAAUUAUUUAAUUAACAAUAUAAAUAUUAAUAAUAUGUAAAUAUAAUUACCGCAAAACAUUUAAACCACGUCGUCUUGACGUGAUCGGGAGUCAUGGUCCAGUUGGGAUAAGGGCCGUCAUAAUAUCUCUUCAUCGUCUCUGAAACGCUCCGGCUAACACGGUUGUUAGCCCCAAACCUGCAAAUAUAACAAAUUUGUUAAAAAAAUUGAUCAAAGAUUUUAAAUUUUAAAUUAAUAAUUUUAUGUACUUACCAAUAAGUACCCGGGGGUCUAUCGGGGUCCAGAACGUGUAAACCCUCUCGUCCGGGCUGGGCAAGCAAAUCCUCGACGGUGUAUCUUGCGAAUGGUGCAUGAGCUGGCACCCGCAAAUCGGGAUGAACUGCAGCCGGUGGGGCAGGCUGAUCUGGGGUGACAGGUGGAGCUGGUGGGGGAGGCAUCUGAGAUGGAAGAGGAGGAGGGGUCGAAGAAACUCUCCGAGAUGUGUGAGAGUCCGGAACUGUCCCGGAAGAAGACGAUGGACCGCUAGAGGAAGAUCCAUCGCCAAACAAAUCCGCAUACGUAGGUGCAGGAGCUGCUGGUCUCGGUCUAGGAGCCAUCUAGAAAAUUUAAAAAAAUUAAAUUAAUAUAUAUCCUAAACGAAUUGUUUAAAAUAAUUUUCUAAACUAAUCAUCUAAACUAAUUCCGUUAACUAAUCACCUAAACUAAUUCCCUAAACUAAUCACCUAAACUAAUCACCUAAACUAACCACCUAAACUAUAAAAAAAAAAAAAGAUAGAGAGAGAAAGUUACCUUAGAGGGGGAGAGGAGUUAGGGAGGAAGAUACGAGCAGUGCUCGUAUGAAAGACUUCUCCCAUAUAUAUAAAAACGGUUUCCUCGUAACUUCGUCGUAAUGUUACGAGGAAGUUACCAGACCCGUGUUUUCGUUUAUGACGAAGUUACCAGGCCCGUAUUUUGGUUUACGACGAAGUUACCAGGCCCGUGUUUUUUCAUUUACGACAAAGUUACCAGACCCGUGUUUUUUCAUUUACGACGAAGUUACUAGGAAAUAGUAUUUUAUGUUACGACGAAUUUACAUGGAAAUAAUAUUUUAUGUUACGACGAAGUUACCAGGCCCGUGUUUUUAUUUACAAUGAAUUUACGAGGAAAGUAUGAAACCCCGAAAAUCAAAUCCCUAAACCCCAAAGUUAUCAUCUUUACCAUUAUCACUCAUUAAUACUUUCAUCCUCUUUAUCCAACUAAAACCCUUAACUUCAACAAAAUAAAAUUUUUACCUUAAGAAAUAGAUAUUAUACAAGACAACUUAUAGUACACAUACAUUAAGUAUCUCACUUAAGCAAUAAAAAACAACAUUGGGUACAAUAUUUUGUAAAGAUAAAAACAACAUUUGUUACAUAUAUUACAUCAUUCUGAAUCGUUUGAGUUCUCAUCAACAUCUGAACAGUCAUCGUCAUCACUACAAUCGAACUCGUCUUCACGUGCUUCAUCUGUCGCAUCUUCGGGAAGAUCUUCAUAUUGAUGGUUAUUUGGGUCGAUCAGAAGAAUUUCAUCAAGUUGUUGAUCAGGAACCUCAACUUCAUUAAUAGCAUCUUCUUCUUGCAAUGGUGGUUCUUCUCCAGCAACAAUUCGUCCACGAGGUGUAAUUUUGAUAGUAGCCAACCAAUUAAUCCCAGAACUUCGAAGGCGAGGGUAUGGAAGAAAGCUAACUUGUUCAGCCUGGGAAGCUAGGAUGAAAGGCUCGAAUUUGUUGUAUCUUCUCCCAGAGUUGACAUCCACAACACCAAUUGGUGUUGAGAUAUGGAGGAGGGCUAUCUCUGACAACUGUUGUCCGGUUUCCUCCACGCGGCACCGUUUCCAGAGCUCCAUAAUAAUCAAUUUCUGCUAGGAUCUGUUGUCCGGUGAGAUAUGGAGGAGGACUAUCUCUGACAACUUUUUUGUAUCUAAACAAUGUCUUAUUUCUUCGGUACGGAUGGGAGAUGGGAAGAAAUCGACGAUGACAAUCAAACCAACAACUCUUUCUACCAUUCUUCAGUUGAAAAUCAUCUGUCGAUCCAUGACAAAUUGGACAAGAUAAUCUUCCAUGAGUUGUCCACCCAGACAAUAUCCCAUAAGCAGGAAAGUCACUAAUCGUCCAACUCCGUAUCUCGUAGAUAUUGCAUCCAUCAGCCAUUUUUUUUUGUUGUGUUUUUCAGUUUGGUAGGUAAAGGUUUAACAAGUAUUUUACAAUGCAAUGUAUUACUACAGAUUUACAACUUUUUUACAAGGAUUUUACAUCCACUUUACAAGGAAUUUAGUUAGGUAUAAAGCACACUUAAUACACGUUUCGACCAAGUAUAACGGUAACCCGAUUCGUUGUAAAAUACUUGUUAAAUUACAACGCCAUUACGAGGAAAUAUAAGGAAAUAGGAUUCCUCGUAAAGUCCUUGUAACAUUACAACGUCUUUACGAGGAAAGAUAAGGAAACAGGAUUCGUCGUAAAGUCUUUGUUGCAUUACAAAGCGUUUACGUGGAAUUUAAUUUUUCACGUAAAAGCGUUGUAACUUUACAACGACUUUACGACGAAACAGUUUCGUUGUAAUAUUACAUCCGCUUUACGACGAAACUGCUUUUCGUCGUAACGUCGACGUAAUCUACUUGUAAAUUUACGAGGAAUUAUGUUCGUUGUAAAACUUCGUUGUAAAGCCAGUGUUUUCUUGUAGUGCUUAUUUUAGCAUUGAAAUGAUUUAUUAUAUUUGACUAACUCGUGGAUCGGUCAGUCGGUCACGGUUGGCAUGAUAAAACCCUAAAUCUGACCCUAGUUCUAGAAUAUUAUUGUAAGGUUUGUAGUGCUAGUUAGCUAAAAUGUUUUUUAGAGCAUGUGCAUUGGGGUCUCUUAGAUGGGUUUGUUAAGGGAAUUAGCAAUUAAAAGAAAAGAUAAAUUGCCAUUAACUUAAGGGACAUAUUCUAAAUAGGGGGUGGAAGCAACGCCUCUUGUGGGCCACGUGUUGGUACAGUAUUGGAGGUGUGAUUUUGAGAGAAAAACAAAAGAUGAAGGCGACGAAGAAGACAGUGGAUUCCGCGAGAAAGAGUCUCGGUGCUCUCACCGUGGAAGAAUCCCGUCUGUGGCUUUCGUAACCAAAAAAUCGUCGGAGAGUUUCGUCGACGACCAAUUUCCGUGGCUCUCCUCGACGAAGAACCUCGGUGGCGUUGCUCGUAGAAGAAUCUCGGUGGCCAUGAGCGUCGGAGAAUCUCUGUGGCUCUCCUCGACGGAGGAAAUCGGUGGCUCUCCUUUACAAACAAACUCCUCGGUCGGCGCCAAGUUAAAUCGAAAGCUCUUCCCUCACAUGGCAAGUAAGAACCACCGAGAUUGAGAAGAAGAAAGAAAGAACCGAUAGUGGUUUGUUUUGGCGAGGAGCAAUGGCGGAGCUGCGUCACUCCAGCUCUUGGAAGCCUUGCACUGAGCGGCGCAUUGGUGGAGUCUCUGGUAUAUUAGAAAAUGUUCUGUAAUGCAGUUGUUGUUGCCAAGAUUAAGAAUGCAACUCUGAUUCUACUAGUACUGAAGCAUGACCAAAUCGUUAAGACACUGGAGACCAUCAAAAGAGUGAGUCCGAGAAGGGCUCUAUUAAUGGGAAUGGCUCAGGCGUUUGGUCACCACAAAUCUUUCAGGUAAAACUUUUCCUCUGGUCGGCUCUUGUAGUUUUGUGAUCAGGCUCUUGUAGUUUUGUGGUCAGCUCUUGUAGUUUUGUGGCCAGGCUCUUGUAAUUUUAUGGUCAGGCUCUUGUAGUUUUGUGGUAGGGCUCUUGUAAUUUUGUGGUCAGCUCUUGUAGUCUGCUGCUUGUUUUGUAGUGGACUUGGUUUUGUUGUAUCACGUGUGUAUCAAACCUUUUGAUCUUGUUUUGUUGUAUCACAGACCGUUUGUUGUAAUGAAAGCAUCAGUCAUCAUCUCUCUUUAUAAAACAUCAUAGUCUUCUUCUCUACUCCGUGUGUAUCAAACUUCAUCUCUCUUUUUUCACUUUAUUUUUCGGGUUCUUUCAUUUGAGAUUUCUUCUUCAAUCACAGACCACAAAUAUAUGGUUUUAUGAAUUUUCAUUUGAGAUUUCUUCUUCAAAAAAGAUUGAGAUUUCUCCUCUUCUUCUUAAAUCACAAAGUUUCUUUCCCAUUCUAUUCUUGUAUUCACAAAGUUUCUUUCCCAUUCUCCUCUUGUUCUUCAUUUAUUCACAAAGUCUAAAACAUAUAUGGCAUCUUCUUCUCAUAAUACUUUUGGAGAGUCAAUUGAUCAAACUUUCGAUUAAUAUUUUGAUCAACAUUUUGAUCAACAUUUUGAUCAAACAUUUGAAAAUCUGUUCAUUGAUCAUGGUGAUCAAGAAGAUGAAAGAAAGAGAAGAAAAAAACGAGUUUUUAUCGAACGAAAUCGUGAAGAAGGUCAUCUCCGGUUAUGGAAUGAUUAUUUCAGCGACACUCCAACAUAUCCCGAAAUUAUUAUCGUUUGUUUCCAUACUAAGUUUUUUUAUGUUUUUAUGUUUCUAUUUUAAUAUCUAUGUUUAAAAUGUUAAGUUUGACUUUGCUUUGUUCAAUAAAUAAAUUUAAUCUUUGUUUCAAA